AUGUGCUCCAUGAUGGCUGCAGCCUCGAUCUGUCCGGGGUGGUGCUUCAACUUGUGUGUCAGGUGGUCGGUGUACUCUGGCUUACCGUUCAUCACUUCGCAGAACACAGCCGACAAAACUUCAGCAAGGACACCAAGGAUGUUUGCUUCACAGAGAACAAUGGACGCGAGCCCGGAGCCCACCGCCGUGCCAUUAACCAUAGCAAGGCCUUCCUUGGGCUGUAGCUCGAAGAAGCCGUGUUGGAUACCGGCGAUCUUAAAUGCCUCGGCAGCAUUAACUUUUGUGCCAUCAGGAGCCACGGCCACGGCAUUCGGGCGGCCGGUGACAAGUCCCGCGAUGUAG
rnacentral:rRNA from 1 species